UACGGGGGUGCGAGCGUUGUCCGGAAUCACUGGGCGUAAAGGGCGCGUAGGUGGUCUGAUAAGGGUGUGGUGAAAGUCCGGGCUCGACCCCGGAUCUGCCGUGCCGACUGUCAGACUCGAGGACUGUAGAGGCAGGCGGAAUUCCGGGUGUAGCGGUGGGAUGCGUAGAGAUCCGGAGGAAGACCGGUGGCGAAGGCGGCCUGCUGGGCAGUUACUGACACUGACGGCG
rnacentral:rRNA from 1 species